CACGAGUCUACACUAUUACGCGCUUCGAUUUUACUCCUCAGGGAGACGAAAUACUCUACAAUUGGACUCAAACUUGGUUAUUAUUCACGGAUUGAACUUCUUUCGAAUUACUCAGCUGCUUGAAGAAAGGACUAUCGUGCAGCUUCUAUCAAUCACUGAACAUGGAAAGUAAUCGUAGAGGUAGCGGGGAACUCAUUGCUAUGAGUGAAUGUCAACAGAAAGUGACGGAACACCGGCAGAAAGUGUGCAGAGUCAUGGAGGUGCUGGCCAGAGAUCACAUGAAGGUCGCCUUUUUUGGCGUGUACGUGUUUCUUUUUCUCCUUUAAGCUUUAUACGUGUACUUGUUUUCUUAAUAUGGAGUACAAUAUAUCUGUCUUUAAUAACCUUGGUUGAACUGAAACGUGAAAGACGACAGA